rnacentral:rRNA from 1 species
CCCGCUGAACUUAAGCAUAUCAAUAAGCGGAGGAAAAGAAAAUAACAAUGAUUCCCCUAGUAACUGCGAGUGAAGAGGGAUAAGCUCAAAUUUUAAAUCUGUUAGGUUCACCUAACCGAGUUGUAAUUUGAAGAGACGUUUUCUCGCUCUUGAUCAGCCCAAGUCCUAUUGAAUGAGGCAUCGUGGAGGGUGAUAAUCCCGUACGGUUGAUCAAUGCGUUUUACGAUACGUUUUCAAAGAGUCAAGUUGUUUGGGAUUGCAGCUUAAAAUGGGAGGUAAAUUUCUCCUAAGGCUAAAUAUUGGCGAGAGACCGAUAGCGAACAAGUACCGUGAGGGAAAGAUGAAAAGUAUUUUGAAAAGAAGGUCAAAUAGUACGUGAAAUUGUUGAAAGGGAAACGAUUGAAGUCAGUCGUACCGACGAGUAAUCAGCCUUUUUGGGUGCGAUUAUGUGGUACAUGGAAAGAUUUCAUUAUCGCAUAUUUGUGCAUUUUUGGUGUACUUGCUCGUAUGGUAGGUUAACAUCAAUUUCGAUCAUCAUAAAAUGACGGGAGGAAUGUGGCUUCUCCGGAAGUGUUAUAGCCUCUGGUAGAUGUGAUGAUUGAGACUGAGGAUUGCAACGGAUACCCUUUGGGCUACCUGUCUGAUCUCUGGUCGUCGCUUUGGUGCUGAAAGCGUGCUUAUGGUUUCAAAGUUAGGUGGCCAAAAGGUUAGAACGGGUUAAAUUCGUUAAGGAUGUUGACGUAAUGGCUUUAAACGACCCGUCUUGAAACACGG